rnacentral:rRNA from 1 species
AUUGAACGCUGGCGGCAUGCCUUACACAUGCAAGUCGAACGGCAGCACGGGUGCUUGCCCCUGGUGGCGAGUGGCGAACGGGUGAGUAAUACAUCGGAACAUGUCCUGUAGUGGGGGAUAGCCCGGCGAAAGCCGGAUUAAUACCGCAUACGAUCUACGGAUGAAAGCGGGGGACCUUCGGGCCUCGCGCUAUAGGGUUGGCCGAUGGCUGAUUAGCUAGUUGGUGGGGUAAAGGCCUACCAAGGCGACGACCAGUAGCUGGUCUGAGAGGACGACCAGCCACACUGGAACUGAGACACGGCCCAGACUCCUACGGGAGGCAGCAGUGGGGAAUUUUGGACAAUGGGCGAAAGCCUGAUCCAGCAAUGCCGCGUGUGUGAAGAAGGCCUUCGGGUUGUAAAGCACUUUUGUCCGGAAAGAAAUCCUUGGCCCUAAUACGGUCGGGGGAUGACGGUACCGGAAGAAUAAGCACCGGCUAACUACGUG